CGGUGGAGCAUGUGGUUAAUUCGACGCAACGCGAAGACCUUACCAGGGCUUGACAUCCCCUGACCGCGUAUGAAAGUACGAAUUCACCUUCGGGUGACAGGGAGACAGGUGGUGCAUGGUUGUCGUCAGCUCGUGUCGUGAGAUGUUGGGUUAAGUCCCGCAACGAGCGCAACCCCUACGUUUAGUUGCUAACGCGUGAAGGCGAGCACUCUAGACGAACUGCCGUUGACAAAACGGAGGAAGGUGGGAUGACGUCAAAUCAUCAUGCCCCUUAUGUUCUGGGCUACACACGUGCUACAAUGGCCGGUACAGACGGACGCAAAGCCGCGAGGUGGAGCAAAUCCUAAAAAGCCGGUCUCAGUUCGGAUUGCAGGCUGCAAUUCGCCUGCAUGAAGUCGGAAUCGCUAGUAAUCGCAGGUCAGCAUACUGCGGUGAAUACGUUCCCGGGCCUU
rnacentral:rRNA from 1 species